UUACAGUUCUUGGUUGAAAAACUUUGUCUCUCUUCAUAUGCAGGCACUGUUUUCAAAGCUACAACAGUUGGCCACCAUUGCUGGCUGACAGAGAGUGAUAAUCUGGCUGUCAAACGAGGAGGAGUUUUGGAGUGCGUUUGAGGACGAGUCAGCCAUCUGGUUUGCAACCGUGGAGAUAGCCAGGUUCGCGGGUAUCCAUUUAAAGUGGUACAGAACCAUGCAUCAGUGGUGAUCAAUAGAGCCAUCAACAUAUUCUCCUCAAGAGGCAUCAACCCACAAAGCUCGCUCCCGAAGGCGGAGUGGUUCACGGAAGCAGCCAAGUCAGCUAUCAACUGUUGUGAAUGAGCCUUCUUUACCUCCUCCUAAUACAGACCCAAGUCCAGAAAGCCUUGGCGCUGCUGCUUCACGUCCUCUUCGGCAGGGUAACGGUUCUGGUGGUCCCUAUUUAUAACCAGCAGCAAAGGAGUAAUGUUGCUGGUCCGCCUCCACCUAAUCGACAAAACGGAAAUAAUGCUCCGGGGAAUUUUGCAUAACUGAAAGUAUGUUCAUGUUCUUCAAAUGCUUUAGUGUCCUCAUUUGGAGAAGGCCAUUCACUCACUUCACCUUACUUUAGAACUGAGUGAAGUUAUUUGGCAGUGGUGGUGUUUAGAGUUGCGUGGGUUUUCAAGAGAGGGACUGUACAAGAGAAGACUUUCUGGCUUGUUUGAUAGUGGGUGUGCUGAUUGGGUUGUGGUUAAGAGCAAGAGAACUGGAUCUUCUUGAUAAAGAUGUUAGAAAAAAGAGGAGAAAUGAAUAACCGAUUUUACAUGAAGUUAUGAAUCUUCAUUGGCUGAAGGAAAGAGAUAAUGUAUUGGUACAUAUGAAGAGUCAUCUGCUACUAGGUUGGGUACAACGAAAGCUUAGAAGACUUGGCUACAGUCAAUGGAGUUGGACCAUCGGUUUUGAAAGGAUAACCUUGUGGGCAAGAGAAAAAUACAAUGGACAACUUGAGGUGGAAAGAGUUUAGUGGAAAGGAUGGGGUUUUGACAAAAACACUCAAGGCACGCAUUGGUAUGGAACAUACACCAAGAGAGUUUCUGUGCAGCUCCUCACUUGCAUUGAAGAUGCAUAGUAGUGUCGAUGCUACCAACGAGGGAGAUAGUGUUGUAUAUGAGGAAGAGAAAGUGCAGCCUGAGUCCAGGAGCAGCUUCACUUUUAAAGAAAGAUUUACAGCUGAAAGUAACAUCGAGAGAAGAUCUAACUAGAGGGUUAGAAAAGACGAGUACAUUACUUCUUAAGGAGGAGCAGUUAACUCUGCAACCAAUUAAUAGUUUGUAGUUUAAAUCAAGAACGUUCAUGUAACCCGUUUCAA